CCUACGGGAGGCAGCAGUGGGGAAUUUUCCGCAAUGGGCGAAAGCCUGACGGAGCAACGCCGCGUGAGGGAUGAAGGCCUCUGGGCUGUAAACCUCUUUUAUCAAGGAAGAAGAUCUGACGGUACUUGAUGAAUAAGCCACGGCUAAUUCCGUGCCAGCAGCCGCGGUAAUACGGGAGUGGCAAGCGUUAUCCGGAAUUAUUGGGCGUAAAGCGUCCGCAGGCGGUCUUGUAAGUCUGUCGUUAAAGCGUGGAGCUUAACUCCAUUUCGGCGGUGGAAACUACAAGACUAGAGUGUGGUAGGGGCAGAGGGAAUUCCCGGUGUAGCGGUGAAAUGCGUAGAUAUCGGGAAGAACACCAGUGGCGAAGGCGCUCUGCUGGGCCAUAACUGACGCUCAUGGACGAAAGCUAGGGGAGCGAAAGGGAUUAGAUACCCCUGUAGUCCUAGCCGUAAACGAUGAACACUAGGUGUCGGGGAAUCGACCCCUCGGUGUCGUAGCUAACGCGUUAAGUGUUCCGCCUGGGGAGUACGCACGCAAGUGUGAAACUUAAAUGAAUUGACGG
rnacentral:rRNA from 1 species